AAUAUUGGACAAUGGGGGCAACCCUGAUCCAGCCAUGCCGCGUGUGUGAAGAAGGUCUUCGGAUUNUAAAGCCCUCUAAGUUGGGGNGAAGGGCUUUAGGCUAAUACCCUGAAGUUUUGACGUUACACUCAGAAUAAGCACCGGCUAACUCUGUGCCAGCAGCCGCGGUAAUACAGAGGGUGCAAGCGUUAAUCGGAAUGACUGGGCGUAAAGCGCGCGUAGGUGGUUCAGUAAGAUGGGUGUGAAAUCCCCGGGCUUAACCUGGGAACUGCUUUCAUAACUGCUGAGCUAGAGUACGGUAGAGGGUAGUGGAAUUUCCUGUGUAGCGGUGAAAUGCGUAGAUAUAGGAAGGAACACCAGUGGCGAAGGCGACUACCUGGACUGAUACUGACACUGAGGUGCGAAAGCGUGGGGAGCAAACA
rnacentral:rRNA from 1 species